AGUGUGUGCCUAAUAAUAAGAGCAAACCCCUGCCACAUGCCAGAUGCAGUUCUAAACACUUCAUACAAAUGGACUCCUUUAAUCUUCAAAACAAGACUGAGAGGCAUUGUCAACUGAUCACAGGUCUUUCUCAUUCCCUGAACUUCGCCUCGGAACUUCUCUCCGUAAAAGAUGUUGCCCACUUGCCAUUUCUAGGCCAGGAGGAAGAGAUUGGAACUCUGGAGAGUCUUUCUUGUUUUGUCUCAGG
rnacentral:lncRNA from 1 species